GGAUGUGAGGGCGAUCUGGCUACGACAUCUGUCACCCCAUUGAUUGCCAGGGUUGAUUCGGAUGAUCUGGCUGGCUAGGCGAGUGUCCCCUUCCUCCCGCAACGCUCUCCAUGUGUGUCCCUCCCAAAUCUGCAUGCUUGGUGGAAGAGGAUGACGUCCCAGGUAUAGAAGGAGUGUACCGAGGUCUCCAGUCUUCGGUCCCGGGUAUACGAUAGCUGUGCUCCCCUGCUAGAACCUCCAAACAAGCUCAAACAGAGAUUUGAUGGCCACCAGUCAAGAGAGGCUAUCAAUUAUUUUUUCCUUAUUAGUGGAUGAACUUUGGGGAGUUUUCUAUUAUUCU
rfam:Anolis carolinensis chromosome 2, whole genome shotgun sequence.